rnacentral:rRNA from 1 species
AUUGAACGCUGGCGGCAUGCUUUACACAUGCAAGUCGAACGGUAGCAGGCCUUCGGGUGCUGCCGCGAGGCGCACGCGUGUGUAAAAUACCGCAACAUGCCCCGAGGUGGGGGAUACAGCCUCGAGACAUGCGCUAAAAUCACACGUAAGCCCUGAAGGAUAAAGGGGGGCAUCGCAGAACUGUUCGCCCUCGCGACUUUAGAGCUGCGGAUGUCCGAUUAGUUAGUUGGUGGGGUACAGGCGUGCCAAGCCGACGAUCUGUAGCUGGUCUGAGAGGACGAACAGUCACACUGGAACUGAGACACGGCCCAGACUCCGACGGGAGGCAGCAGUGGGGAAUUUUGGACAAUGGGCGCAAGCCUGAUCCAGCAAUGCCGCGUGAGGGAAGAAGGCCUUCGGGUUGUAAACCGCUUUAGGACGGGAAGAAAAGCUUUAGGCUAAUACCUGGGGCUGAUGACGGUACCGGAAGAAUAAGCACCGGCUAACUACGUG